rnacentral:rRNA from 1 species
AUUGAACGCUGGCGGCAGGCCUAACACAUGCAAGUCGAGCGGAUGAUGGAAGCUUGCUUCCUGAUUCAGCGGCGGACGGGUGAGUAAUGCCUAGGAAUCUGCCUAUUAGUGGGGGACAACGUUUCGAAAGGAACGCUAAUACCGCAUACGUCCUACGGGAGAAAGUGGGGGCUCUUCGGACCUCACGCUAAUAGAUGAGCCUAGGUCGGAUUAGCUAGUUGGUGAGGUAAUGGCUCACCAAGGCAACGAUCCGUAGCUGGUCUGAGAGGAUGAUCAGCCACACUGGAACUGAGACACGUUCCAGACUCCUACGGGAGGCAGCAGUGGGGAAUAUUGGACAAUGGGCGAAAGCCUGAUCCAGCCAUGCCGCGUGUGUGAAGAAGGUCUUCGGAUUGUAAAGCACUUUAAGUUGGGAGGAAGGAUUGUUAGCUAAUAUCUAGCAGUUUUGACGUUACCAACAGAAUAAGCACCGGCUAACUCUGUGCCAGCCGCCGCCGUAA